CCCUGCCCUGCAAUGAGCCCCCACGUGCCCUUUUUCGUCUCUUCUCUCCAGGAAAUCUCCCCUAACUCCCCAAGCUGAGGGCCCACUUAUUCGCAGCUUGUAAAGAAAAGUGACUGAAGUCAGGUGUAGGCUUUAAGAUUGUUUUUAUGUUUGGGGGUGGAGGUGGCGUUUCUUCAUCUAUGUAAUGUGAGCUUUACUUCCCUUUUUGGGGUACAAGGUGUCAGGGAUUAGAGUGGGAAACGUGUGCUUCCUCACUCGCUGGGCCCCACUUUCCCUUAACCAGCUGCCUUCCAGUGCAAGACGACUCUCUCCUAGGUCCUGAGCCCACCAUCCACAGAGAGAUUCUGAGGGCAUCAGCUAUUUUAUUGAGGUGUGGAUGGCAAGCAUGGCUGAGGAAGGGAUCCCUAAGACACAGAUUUAGGGCUGGCUCUGACAUGAGUUUGGGUAAACUCCAGGAGUUGGUGAUGGACAGGGAGGCCUGUUGUGCUGCAGUCCUUGGGGUUGCAAAGAGUCAGACUGACUGAACUGAACUGACAUUUUUUAGACUCUCUGAGUCUCAGUUUACUCAUCUGUUAAAGAAGAAUAAAACUAACACAGCCUACCUGGAAAUUUUACCAGGGUUGAAAUCUAAGAUGAUGUCACAUCUUGUGUCCCAAUUCUUUUUAAACUUUUAUAUUGUGGGACAGCCGAUAAACAAUGUUAUGAUAGUUUCAGGUGAACAUCGAAGGGACUCAGUCAUACAUAUAUUUGUAUCUUGUCUCCUCCUUCUGCCUAACAGUCUUUAAUAGGUUGAAUGUGCACUAUUCUAGGAGUUUGCUGGAGGAUUAAGCCACACAUCCGAUUUUAACUACGGGUCUAGCCAUACCACCAGAUCUGACACCCAGGCUGUAUGAAGUUGGUUCCUCAUGGAAUUGCUUUCAGUGAACUUCCAUUUGUAGUUGGCCAGAAGAUACCUGGGUAUACAGGUAUGUUACUGAAACUGUAGAUCACUUGAUUGAACACUGCUAUAAUUAUGAGGUUCAUGCAGAAGUUCUGUUAAACCUCAGCACUUGGUAAAGAUGUUUCUCCUGAUGAGUGGUUUGCUUUUUUUAUCUUUGAAGCACCAAGGAUCUCAUAAUUGAUCAUAUUUUUCUCUUUGCCCUGGUUUCUAGGGAGCCAAAUUUACUUAGCAUCUUUUGUGUAAAACCUGGAUCCUGAACUAUUACCCCUAGUUUCAGCUUAUUUUCCUUUCUUUCUUUUUGUAAAUUAUGGAAACACAGGGAGCUGUUGUAGUGUGUUAGGUCUGCUGUGUGAUCUUGAGUGAACUAUUUAAUGUCCCUGAACCAAUUUCCUCAUCGAGAAUGGGGAUGAUGGUAUCAGGACCUAUCUCAUAAGAUUAUUGAGAAGAUAUCAUGAAAUCCUGCACACAAAAUGUUUACCACAGUAACUGUCAUAUACUAAGUGCUCAAAGGUUAGUAUUUGUUUUUAUUUUUUUAGUAUUUGUUUUUAAAAAGUAGUUUGCAAUACAGAAAUUUAUAAAAUAGAGAGUUAAAAUCUGUUCUAAUAUUUUGUGUGGGCAUGCUAAGUCCCUUCAGUUGUGUCCAACUGUGUGCGACCCUAUGCACUGUAGCCCCCCAGGCUCCUCUGUCCAUGAGAUUCUCCAGGCAAGGCUACUGGAAUGGGUUUCCAUAUCCUCCUGCAGGGGAUCUUCCUGACCCAGAGACUGAACCUGUGUCUCUUAUGUCUCCUGCAUUGGCAGGAGGGUUCUUUACCACUAGAGACACCCGGGAAGCCCAUCACCCACAAAUGAUCACUGAGGUCCAAUCUAGUGUUUUUUUACUAUUUUUUUCUGUGCACCUAAUAUUAACUACAUAAAAGGAAUCGCAGUUUUGCUUGUUGCCUUUUACAUUAAGUAUAUCUUGGACAUCGUUUUAUGCCAAUGAACAUGGUGUUACCUCAUUCUUCAACAGUCUGUAGCAUUUGGAUUCUUUCCAGUUUUUAGCUAUUAAAAAUCCAUCCAACAAAUUUCUUGAAUGCCUUUUAUUUGCCAGGAACUAUUGCAGGCCUUGAGGAUAUAGUCGUGAAUGAGAUAGCCAUGGUAGUUUCUGUCCUUAUGGAAAACAUUUAAGCUGAGACCUAAAGAAAUGAAAAAGCUAGCUGUGCAAAGAGAAGGGUGAGGGGAAGCCAGGCAGAAAGUAUGGUGAAUGCAAAAGUCCCAAGGAAUGAAAGUCAUCUUCACUGACUUGACAGGCAUUUGAAAGCCCACAUAUGCUGGGCAGUAUUCUAGGCACUGGGGCUCUAGGAGAAAAACAACUCUCUGCCCUCGAUAGAGCUUACUCUAGAGAUGUAAUGUAGGGAAAUGAAGACUGACAAUAAGCAAAGGGGAAUAUACAAUGCAGUGUCAUACAGCAAUAAGUGAUGGGGUGCUGUUUUCAUCAGGAUACUUACGGAAGGCUUCUCAGAAGAGGUGACUCUUCAGUGGAGACCUAAUAAAGACCUUUACAAGCCAUUUGAAUAGCUGGGGGAGAAAAGCAAGUACAAACACCCUUGGCUGGGGUGUCCUUGUCCGGUGAGUUAGUGAAAAUGUAACAGUUAAUGGAUGGCGUCACCAACUCAGUGGACAUGGGUUUGGGUGGACUCCGGGAGUUGGUGAUGGACCAGGAGGCCUGGCAUGCUGUGGUUCCUGGGGUCACAAAGAGUCAGACACGACUGAGUGACUGAACUGAACUGAAUAGUUAAUGAAGUUAUAGAUGAAGCUGGAUCCUGUGGCAUCUUGAAGCCAUGUAGAAAAUUUUGGAUUUUUUUCCUUAGAGGAACAUUAUGAGCACAGGGAAAUGUGAUGAGAUUUUUUAAAAAUUAUUCUGGAUGAUGUGUGGAAAAGAGACUAUAGAGGGGCCACUGUAGAAAUAGGGAGAACAGUUAGGAGGCAUUUGAGAAAUAAGCUGAGAGAGUGAUGAGAAAAUAAAUGUCCUUGAAUAUGCAUCUUUGUUCACAGAUACAAGUGUUAAAUUGUGGAAUCUGAAACGUUAGAAUUAGAGAUUGAAUCAUUGAACAAUGACACCCUAGUAGCAACAAGCACAGCCAGUGCCCAGAUCUUUGAUUCUAAAUUCCAUCCUCCAAAAAAGGAACCACUGCCCUUGGGAAAAUGGCUGAUUUCAAGGCUGUGGCAGGAAAGGUACAAGAUGAGCCUGGAACAACUUGUGCCAGAAAUUAAAGGACUCCUCAAAAAUAUCAAAAGAACAAAGGAGCCAACUUGAAGGGACUUCCACUGACCAAAUCAAGGACACUUUAAGCAUCAAAACAGUCACAGUAACAGAUUAUAACCUACUGAAUAAAAUAAGGAUUCCUAAGUCCAUGCUAAUAUUAACUAAAUAAAUACAUGUGACUGGAAAGCUCUCCUUAUAGAAGAAGGAAAAAUGAAACUAGAAAAUUACCAUUCCCAAUCAUCACAGUAAUGACUGAUUCAAGUGAGAAUCAUUUCUGGAUACUAAAACUAAUGGGUGAAAGUUUGAUGAAAAACCUGAUAUUUAUAUAGUUUCAGAUAUGUUCCAAUAAGAUAUUUAUUAAUUACAAAUUUUAAAGUAGUAACCUGAAGAAAAUAGUAACCUAAUAGUAUAAUAGGGAAAAGUGGUGGGUAAACACGUUAAUAACCCCAUUGCAGUAGUCCCUCUUAAACAAAAUCUUUCUUAUCGUUUUUUUUUUCCUUACCAUCUUUUUUUUCUUACCAUCUUUAAUGAGGGUCUUUAAAUUUUUUCUUUAAUGGAUACAAAUUGACAUCAUGUGCUUUGGAUAUGUUAAACUGAAAAAUACAACAUCAAAAAUUCAGUGGUAAGGCAUAAUCAUGAGGAAACAUAAGCCUAAAUUGAGAGAAAAUUGUUCGAAAAUGUCAGUGUCAUAACAGACAAAGGUUUCAAGUCAAAGGAGAUGAAAGAGACAUGAAAACUAAAUGCAACGCAUGAUCCUCUUUUGGAUACUAGCCUAGAACGAACAUUGUUAUGAAGGACAAUGUUGGGACAAGUAGCAAGAUUUGAAUGAGGACUAUAGAUUAAAGAAAGCAAUAUGGCAAAAAAAAAAAAAAGAAAGAAAGAAAGAAAGACUAAUCAUAGUCUACCAUCAAAUAUUUUAGGAGUAUCUUUAAUGUUUAGAUAGUAUAUUAGCAGCAUGCAAUAAUUACAUCAUAAGUUCUCAAGCAGAGGCAGUCUAUUGCAAGGACCUUCUUUGCUGCCAGUUAUCAUAGGCUGUUUUAAGUUAGAAAACUGAAUAGCAACACUGAAUACUGUAGAAAUGCACUUUGCUCAGUAAUACUUGAGUUGUUGCAAUAUUUGAUUAUCCAUUUGGUUGUUACAGAAAAAUUCUUAACUGUAAUUGAUGGUUGUUGCCGUAAUAGUAUAUUGCCUGUAUUUCUACCUCUAGUAAUGGGCUUUAUGUGCUAGAUUUUAAUAUCCUUGAGCCUGGGCAAGUGCACAAGUCUUUUUAAAAGAAACAUGGUUUACUUGCACAAAACUGAUCAGUUUUGAGAGAUCGUAAAUGCCCUUGAAGUGGUCUUUGUGGGUGUGAAACAAAUGGUGAGAAUUUGAAUUGGUUCCUCUUAUUAUAGUAUUGAAAUUAAGUCUACUUAAUUUAUCAAGUCAUGUUCAUGCCCUGAUUUUAUAUACUUGUAUCUAUCAAUAAACACUGUGAUACUUGAAAAAAAAAAAGAAAGAAAGGUUAACAGUUGGUGAAUCUGGUAUAAGCCUCCUCAAAUCCUUUUUCUUUUCUUUCUUUUGAAACAAAGCAGGUUAAGUAAAUCAUGAAUCUCCCACCAUAUAAAAUGUGUUCUGAAUCCCCUUCCUCUUCUACCCUCUCAAGCCCACUCUUAAAGUCUCUCAACUCUCCUCAUCUCUGAGAAUCCACAUUGCUCACACACAUUCCUUCCCUAAGGCCUCCACUUAUGCCCUGGAAAUGUCCAGAAGCUGCACAUAAUUUACCCCUGUCCCCCAGCCCCAGUGAGGGAGGAGGUCCCCAAUUAUAGACUUUUUGAAGGAAGUGCUGCCACUCAGCUCAGUCCAGCCUGCCACUGCUUCCAAACCCCCAUGCUCCAGCCCUGUGGCUGUAAGGAAGCCCUGCAGGGAGUCCUAGAUGCUUCUUUCUUUGAUCUUUUCUUUGAACUUAACCCUUAGAAGCUUAGAACUCAUAAAACAUCAGAGCUGCCGGAGACUUUACUGUUUAUCUGGCUCAACCUCCUCAAGUUACCUCGUGUUGGGAAACCAAGGCCAGAGAGGGGUGACUCACCCAAGGUCACACAGUAGUACUGUCCCUCAGUGGGGCUUGAGCCACCAAACUCUCAUCCUGAUGGCCUUCUCCUCCUGGCUUCGCCCCAGCCUUACCCAAUCCUGGCAUCUGGUUUAGAGCCCUUUGCCAAUAAACCAUGACUGACCAAUUUUAAACCCUAUCCCACCUCCCAACUGGGUAACUCACAUUCUACUGAAAGGAGGGUAAUAAUCACAACAAUCUUACACACUUAACUGAGCACUUACUGUGUGCAGGCACUGUGCUAAGCCCUGUACAGAAACUAUCAUUUAAUUUUCACAAAACCUUGAUGUGGAUAUAAUUAUUAUCCCUGUUUACAGAUGAGGAAACUGAGGCCUAUAGAAAUUAACAACUUACCCAAGGGUAUACACAGAGUACACCUGGGAAAUCUGACUGUGGCCUUUACAUACAGGCCUCUUCAAACAUGAGACAUGCUUAGCAAAAUACAAGGAACAUUUAUUGAACAGCCACUCUGUGAGGAAUACUAGACUAGUCAUCACGGGGCUCAUGAAUCAAGCCCCACUGGAAGCAGAGUGUGGAGGAUUUGUAGGACAUCGUAUGCAUCAUUGAGGCAUUGAAGAAGCUUCUCGUAAGAGGCAUCUGAGAAAGACUUUGAAGGAUGUGUAGGAAUCUGACAGUGAUGGAAAGGAGGUGUCCCGAGAAGAACUGAGGAGGGGUCAGCAUGAGUAAAAGCAUGGCAGAAGGAGCAGGGAGGAGCAGGGUUUCACUGGAGGAUAGGUUAUAACCAGGAAGCAGUGGAAGAUCAGGCUUCAAAGCUAAGUGGAGGCCAUACUUUGAAAGACUUUAACGGCAAAGUGAGGAGUUUUGGGGAGCCAUUGAAGUCUUUGACAAGAGAGUGGCUUGAAUUGAAGUUAUUAAAAGAUCGAGCCAGUGGCAGCAACUGGCUGAUGCCCCGUGACUUCAGUAUUGAUGGUGUAGCAC
ensembl:lncRNA